UCAAAUCACUAAUUAAAUCUCUCAUAAAUAUUGAGUCCAAAUCCGAUGGGUAAUCGGGCAUCAGAAUUCAUCGAUAUGUAAUCCUGAUCGAAGAGUCCUAAACCAGUGGGACUCUUGACCCCGGUACCCAAAAUGUGUGGAAUUCAUGAUCAAAGAAUCCUGAUUCUCGAUUACAGAAUCUCAGACAUGAAGGACUCUUCACCAGCUAUC
rnacentral:lncRNA from 1 species